rnacentral:rRNA from 1 species
UAUGUAGGGUCCGAGCGUUGUUCGGAAUUACUGGGCGUAAAGCGCGCGUAGGCGGCUUUGUAAGUUAGAGGUGAAAGCCCGGGGCUCAACUCCGGAACUGCCUUUAAGACUGCAUCGCUUGAAUCCGGGAGAGGUGAGUGGAAUUCCGAGUGUAGAGGUGAAAUUCGUAGAUAUUCGGAAGAACACCAGUGGCGAAGGCGGCUCACUGGACCGGUAUUGACGCUGAGGUGCGAAAGCGUGGGGAGCAAACAGG